rnacentral:ncRNA from 1 species
CGACCUCAGAUCAGGCGGGACUACCCGCCGGAUUUAAGCAUAUUAAUAAGCGGAGGAAAAGAAAACAACCGUGAUUCCCUUAGUAGCGGCGAGCGAACCGGGAAAAGCCCAUCGCCGAAUCUCGCCGCGCACUUUUGUGUCGCGGCACGUAUGAGAGUUGUGGCGUACGGGCCGGCCUCGUUGCCGGGGCGCACGUGACGGUCCAAGUCUCCCUUGAACGGGGCCAUGGCCCGCAGAUGGUGCCAGGCCAGUAGAGGCCGUCACAGCGUUCCGGGAUCGGACCGCGCCUUCGAGUCGGGUUGCUUGAGAGUGCAGCCCGAAGCGGGUGGUAAACUCCAUCUAAGGCUAAAUACGGCCACGAGACCGAUAGUUUACAAGUACCGUGAGGGAAAGUUGAAAAGAACUUUGAAGAGAGAGUUCAUAAGAACGUGAAACCGCUCGGUUGUAAACGGACAGAGCUCGCGAAUCCCCGCCCGGGCGAAUUCACGGUCGGUCUAACCGGCCGGGCCGGAUCUUUCGCUCGGUUAGCGGACGUCGCGACCCGUUGGGCGCCGGCCGAAUGGCCCGGGUGACGUUCGUCGCGUCGGUCGCGUUUCGGCGUGACCCGUUCGCGCCGAGCCCCGGUGCUCAUGGUCGGCUCGCCCGACGGCAAGAACCGUCGACGCGGCCCCGUCGCAGGCGGGGUCCCGUCGGUCGGCGACGUGUUUCGAGCUACUUUCCGACCCGUCUUGAAACACGGACCAAGGAGUCUAACGUGUGCGCGAGUCAACGGUGAUCUUACGAAAAACCACGUUUGGCGCAAUGAAAGUGAACCGUUUACGGUGCGGACGAUGGCCUAGCGACCGAACCCACCGGCGUUCAAAGUCGCGCUGGUCCGCAGUCCGGGGGCGUCUCCGCCAAGUCGGCUUCGGCCGGCUGGGGGCGCACCCUUAGCGCACACGUUGGUACCCGAAAGAUGGUGAACUAUGCCUGGCCAGGAUGAAGUCAGGGGAAACCCUGAUGGAGGUCCGCAGCGAUUCUGACGUGCAAAUCGAUCGUCUGAGCUGGGUAUAGGGGCGAAAGACUAAUCGAACCAUCUAGUAGCUGGUUCCAUCCGAAGUUUCCCUCAGGAUAGCUGGCGCCGAUGUGUCCCGCCCGUUCGCGGGCGUACGGACGCCGGUGGGACUCCGCG